rnacentral:sRNA from 1 species
AAUUUCAUUUGAAGUGGUAUCCUUUUUUGCUUUUUAGGCAAAAAAGAGACAAGCGAGUAGCAGGACAAAAG